CACGUAGGGUGCGAGCGUUUGUCCGGAAUUGAUUAGGGCGUGAAAGAGCUCGUAGGCGGUGUGUCGCGUCGGCCGUGAAAACUUGGGGCUUAACUCUGAGCGUGCGGUCGAUACGGGCAUCACUUGAGUUCGGCAGGGGGAGACUGGAAUUCCUGGUGUAGCGGUGAAAUGCGCAGAUAUCAGGAGGAACACCGGUGGCGAAGGCGGGUCUCUGGGCCGAUAACUGACGCUGGAGGAGCGAAAGCAUGGGGAGCGAACAGG
rnacentral:rRNA from 1 species